UACGUAGGUGGCAAGCGUUGUCCGGAUUUACUGGGCGUAAAGAGCGCGCAGGCGGUCGAGUAAGUCGAAUGUGAAAGCCCCCGGCUCAACUGGGGAGGGUCAUUCGAUACUGUUCGACUUGAAGGCAGGAGAGGGCAGCAGAAUUCCCGGUGUAGUGGUGAAAUGCGUAGAUAUCUGGAGGAACACCGGUGGCGAAGGCGGCAUCCUGGACCAACACUGACGCUGAGGAGCGAAAGCCAGGGGAGCAAACGGG
rnacentral:rRNA from 1 species